AUCGUGUUGAACUGAUCUUAACUGGGACAUUCAAGCUGAGAUUGCAGAGGGAUUAAUUGUGUGUAUUUGUUUCUGCAGGGUCGACAGUGUGCUAAAGCAAAUGACAGAGCUACGUGACCAUGACAGAAGAUUGCAGCUUCUGGAGACAAAGCUGGAGUACUGCUGCAGCGCUCUCUCCUGGAUGACAGACGCUCUGUCUCAGAGUCCCCUGAUGAAGGCUGGCCGCCUGCCCUCUGCCCCUCAGAGAUCUGACUCUGUCUGCAAGCAGACUACCUGAACUCUGGGAUCUCACACACACAUAUACACACACAAUGUUUUUUUCGAUGAAUCUUGAAUUUUGUUUUUUAAAGAUUCAUUUAAUUUGAUAUAUUUGUCAACAGUAGUACUGCUGGAAUGCAUUGUUGUCUGCUACAGUCCGACUAGAUUUUUAUAGCUCAAACCUUUUGUUUUGAAAAUUGUAGCUGAAUAUAUAUGUGGGUUAUGUGCUACACUGUACACGGUAGCCAUCCGCAUGGAAUCAAAGCCUGUGUAGGGAUGGCAUCAUUGUUUUGCAAGAGGGACGCUCGGGUGAUGUAGGUUAGAGGUUCCUCCGUCACCAUUUUACGUUCCAGUCUUACACUAAGCCACACAUUCAAGUGAAAAGGUCCUCUAGACCAAACUACGGUGGCCUUGAAGUGCAAAACACAACGACAAAUAGGAAAACACAACGAAAUUGACUUCUUACAGAAAGGGAAGGGCCUUAUAGCAGGAAGCAGUGGACGGACCCUUCUCAUGAUCUGGCGAUGUUUUACGAGUGUCUUAAAAGUGUCCUACUAGUGUUUCACCAUUGUUUUGUUGUUCAAUUAUAUUUAGGUGUUGUAUUUAAAAGUAAAUAAAAGCGCAGGGGGGGGUGGGGGGGUUGCCGCGGACGCUACGCGGGGGUCGGGUGCCGCGAACACUACGGCCGGUGGACGCCGCGGACGCGAUGGCCGACACGGCUCGGGGACCGAGGAAUUGGAUGUGUGGCGGGACUGCGUGACAAGAGACCGAAAUGGGGGACACUUGAGAGCCCUGCAUCCUUUCCUGUUAAAAGACAGACAGUCCGUCUGUCCAAUCAGAAGGGUCCAUCCUCUGCUAUAUGGCCCUACCCUUUCCGUAAGGAGUUCAUUUUGUUGUGUUUUCCUAUUUGUCGUUGUGUUUUGCACUUGAGGGUCACCGUACCAAACAGACCAAGUCAGGUUUUGUUAAAUAAAGGGCUUUACUUGUGUCAUAUGAAACUAGAAAUAUUCCUGUCUUCUACACUGGUUUUCUAGCCUUCUGACCACUCAAAGCUCUUUAACACUUCAUGUCGUUAUUCAGCCGAUCACACACACUGAUGACAGCAGCUACCACACACAGUGACACCUGCCCAUCAGCAACUAACAUUCACACACCUUGGUCACAGCUACGGGAGCAAAGUUUGGUGUCUUCAAGGACAUGCAAACUAGCUGGGGAUCAAACCUCUGAUUGAGGAUUGAUGAUGAAGUGCACUAAUGGCUUCUUACAUUAUGGUUAAUAUUACAUUAUGAGCAAAUAAAAUAAAACUAUAAUUCAUGCUUUCUAUCACAAAGGAUGUAAUUUGUGACAAUUGACAAUCUGUUAAUUGUCCUCUGUUCUAAUUUUCUGUAAAGAAUGCAAC
ensembl:lncRNA